GCCCUAGGAGACCUUAAGAUGAAAGGCCAGACUGGCAACCUAACCAUAGCAACCCCCCAAAGUGGCUUCUCCUAGAGCAGACCCUACAACCUCACAAGGGUUUCCUGUACCCCCAGACCCUGGCAUGAGAACUCGGCUCUGUAGUCCUGGAACGGACCAAUUUGCCUGGAUUUGUUGAAUUUCACACAAUCUUGAUUCCCAAGGUUUUCUACUGUUAGCAACAAAAAAGAGAGAUGCUCGCAAGUAUAAACAGACCAGAAGGACAGGAAGUCUGACGGGAGUCCACAUGUUCCUUCCACCAUGAAUGACUAUGGCUAAGGCUCCAAGGAGUUGGAGAGACAUAAUUUAUGACAAGCAGCUGAUGAGAGCUACUGCUUCACCUCAGCCAACCCUACAUCAAAACACUUGACUCCACCUAGGGAUCUGCAUGUGUGAAGAGCUGAGCAGUU
rnacentral:lncRNA from 1 species